rnacentral:rRNA from 1 species
UACGUAGGGUGCGAGCGUUAAUCGGAAUUACUGGGCGUAAAGCGUGCGCAGGCGGUUUUGCAAGCCGGAUGUGAAAUCCCCCGGGCUCAACCUGGGAAUGGCAUUCGGGACUGCAAGGCUGGAGUGCGGCAGAGGAGACUGGAAUUCCUGGUGUAGCAGUGAAAUGCGUAGAUAUCAGGAGGAAUACCGAUGGCGAAGGCAGGUCACUGGGCCGCAACUGACGCUGAGGAGCGAAAGCAUGGGGAGCGAACAGG